rnacentral:rRNA from 1 species
AGUGAACGCUGGCGGCAGGCCUAACACAUGCAAGUCGAACGGAUUAUUCGGGGUUACUGGCGGACGGGUGAGUAGACCGUGGGAACGUGCCUUUUAGUCCGCCUGAGCGCAGGGAAUAAUGUCCUAUAACGAGCGCGAACAUCGCGGGAAAGAUGAAGCACAAUUAGAGGGGCCCUCGGCUGAUUAGCUAGUUGGUGAGGCAACGUCUCACCAACGCGACGAUCAGUAGCUGGUCUGAGAGGAUGACCAGCCACACUGGGACUGAGACACGGCCCAGACUCCUACGGGAGGCAGCAGUGGGGAAUCUUGCGCAAUGGGCGAAAGCCUGACGCAGCCAUGCCGCGUGAAUGAUGAAGGUCUUAGGAUAGUAAAAUUCUUUCACCGGGUACGAUAAUGACGGUACCCGGAGAAGAAGCCCCGGCUAACUUCGUG